GGAAUUGCCUUAGUACGGCGAGUGAAGCGGCAAUAGCUCAAAUUUGAAAUCUGGCUCUUUCAGAGUCCGAGUUGUAAUUUGUAGAAGAUGCUUCGGCUUACGUAUCGGUCUAAGUUCCUUGGAACAGGACGUCACAGAGGGUGAGAAUCCCGUUUGUGGCCGGUACUUCCGCCAUGUGAAGCUCCUUCGACGAGUCGAGUUGUUUGGGAAUGCAGCUCUAAAUGGGAGGUAAAUUUCUUCUAAAGCUAAAUAUUGGCCAGAGACCGAUAGCGCACAAGUAGAGUGAUCGAAAGAUGAAAAGCACUUUGGAAAGAGAGUUAAAAAGUACGUGAAAUUGUUGAAAGGGAAGCGCUUGCGACCAGACUUGCCUUUAGUUGCUCCGCCGGUCCUUCGACCGGUGUAUUCUUCUAUUGUCAGGCCAGCAUCAGUUUGGGUGGUUGGAUAAAGGCAUUGGGAAUGUGACUCUCUUCGGGGAGUGUUAUAGCCCUUUGUGCAAUACAGCCUACCUAGACUGAGGACCGCGCUUCGGCUAGGAUGCUGGCGUAAUGGUCGUAAGCGGCCCGUCUUGAAACACGGACCAAGGAGUCUAACAUCUAUGCGAGUGUUUGGGUGUCAAACCCGUGCGCGAAAUGAAAGUGAACGGAGGUGGGAACCUUAGGGUGCACCAUCGACCGAUCCUGAUGUCUUCGGAUGGAUUUGAGUAAGAGCAUAGCUGUUGGGACCCGAAAGAUGGUGAACUAUGCCUGAAUAGGGUGAAGCCAGAGGAAACUCUGGUGGAGGCUCGCAGCGGUUCUGACGUGCAAAUCGAUCGUCAAAUU
rnacentral:rRNA from 1 species